GCGACAUCCAUGCAAGAGCGCAUGCGCUAAAUCACCAGGAACAGGAAGAGUUGAUUGCCUAAACAAUGCUUCAGUUAUGCUAUUGUGGAGGAGAUAUUAUCAAGUUUGACUGUAUUUACGUCCAGUUGUAGACAUGGCGUGCUGCACAUCCCCUUCCAGGCUGUGCUCCCGCUCGUCUGUCUACACACUGGCCCUCGGUCUGGGCUUCAUAACCCUGGGGACAAGCCGCAUCCUGCUGCUCAAAUUCUCUGCAAAUGCUGACAAUAAGUAUGAUUUCCUCCCUGCAUCAGUCAAUCUGCUCGCUGAGCUGCUCAAACUUCUCAUCUGCAUGGCGAUGUCGGUCAGGGUCAUAGUCAGAGAGGGACGAUCAUGCAGAGAGCUGGGCUGGUCCUCCAGCCAGUCAUUCCUAAAUUCUCUGAAGUGGGCCGUGCCUGCUUUCCUUUACUUCCUCGACAACCUCAUCAUCUUCUAUGUGAUGACCUACCUGCAGCCUGCCAUGGCGGUGCUGUUCUCAAACUUUGUCAUCCUGACGACAGCUGUACUCUUUAGAAUUGUCCUCAAGAGGCGUCUGUCCUGGGUGCAGUGGGCGGCCUUAGUCAUCCUCUUCCUGUCCAUCGUUUCCUUGACGAUGGGAUCAGGUAGCAGCCAAAACGCCAUAGCAGUGCCUGGUCUCCACUCCAACCCACUCUCCACCCCGUCCAACUCCUGCCUGCUCUACACACAGCUGCUGGAGCAGAUGAGGAACAGCAGUGCAAGUGCAUCGUGGGCAUCGUCUCUGCCGAGUCAGGCCUGGAGGGACAGAGUCGUGGGGAAGCUUCGCUCCUUUGGUGUGGGUCACAUCCUGCUGAUCCUCCAGUGCUUCAUCUCAGCCAUGGCCAACAUCUACAAUGAGAAGAUCCUCAAAGAAGGAGACCAGCUCACUGAGAGCAUCUUUAUCCAGAACAGUAAACUGUAUGCCUUCGGCGUGGUGUUUAACGCUCUGACCCUUGGACUUGGCAGUGAAGCACGAGGACUCACCAUGCACUGUGGCCUACUGCACGGACACAACAUCUACUCCCUGGGUCUUGUGCUGGUCACUGCCUCCCUGGGUUUAUCCGUGGCCUUCAUCCUAAAAUUCAGAGACAACAUGUUCCACGUUCUGACGGGACAGAUCACCACCGUCCUGGUCACCGCCCUUUCCCUCUUCCUCUUUGACUUCCGGCCCUCACUGGACUUCUUCCUUCAGGCUCCCAUGGUCCUGCUUGCCAUCUUUAUCUACAAUGCCAGCCGGCCCAAAGACGUGGAGUACAGCCUGCAGCAGGAGAAGCUGAGGGUCGUCAACGGAGAGGUGUUUGAGCGGUCAAGAGGGAACACUUGACUUCACUGGAUAUAAAUCAUACAGCAUAAAACAUUUGAAGAGACCCGACAUGAUGGAGAGGAACUGGAGCUGCUGACUAAACCCAACACAGACAGCGAAUCUGAUGAGGAGUCUUUGUAAUCUUAAAUUGUGGCUCCUAAAUGUCAGAAGAUUUUUUGAAGCUGCUUUUUAGACUUGUUCUCAUGAACGCAGCAUGGCUGCAGAGCAAGUGAAUCCUGUGGAUCAAUCGUUGAAUAACUGAGGCUGAUGUGUAUAUUUUGAAACGUGCCUGUCUGUGUCUAAGUGCUUUUACUGAAGGAGAAUCCCAGUAUUUUUGGACCAGGCCACAUUUUACACACCUUUUGAGGUCUUAAUCUGUGAUAUGUACAUUUUAUUGUCUGUAGUUGUGGCAGCAUCAUCUUUGUAUGCAAAGCCUUGUUUGAAAAUACAGAGAUAGGUCUUUUCUCUUGAAGCUUUUGCAAGAAUCGCUUGGUUUGCAGUGAUUUCAUCAACUCCUGUGGAUAAAUCCAUUUAUGAAUCAUGUUUUCACAGGACUAUGGUUCAGAAAUACUGAAUUUUAGUAGGGAAACACUGUAUUUGCUGUGUGGGAUCAUUAAUGGUUCCUAUAAUGAUUUAUUCCCUCUGAUGAUUCCUGCUCUGUGAGCUGAUAUUUGAUAUUUUUGUUUUGGUUUAAUACCAGCAUCAACAAAUCAGGCUGAUUUAUGAUUGUAUGAAACUGCAAUAUUUAAGAUUUUCUUUUUUAAAGUGUUUAUUCAGUAUAGGAUCAAUGGUUAAACCAUGAGGAAAACUUUUAGCAGCACAUAGCAAACACUGGGCAUCAAACAUUUACCAGCUGGUUGUACAUAAGACAGUAACAGAAAUACAAAGAUGGGAUUGUUACAUUACUGAGUACAUAUUUUUCUAUUUUUCUGCACAAACAGUGAACAUGUACAAGAACAAAGAGCAUAGAAACAGUUUUACUAGAGCGCCUGCAUCAUCCCUGAAAGCACAACAGACCAGCUCUAGGAGCAGAUCUAGGACAAGAUCUAGGUUCAAACUCUGAGACUUGAAUGAUAUUGUAUAUUAGAGUCAUCAUAACUAUUACUAUUAGAAUAAAAUGCUUCAGUUUAACUCUAUGAAGAUUCUUAUUUGUGCCAUAAAGUUUGAACUUGUGAGUGCUUAUAAAUCAGAAAUAAACUGUGAUGAACAGCU